AGCGAACGCUGGCGGCAGGCCUAACACAUGCAAGUCGAACGGACCCUUCGGGGUUAGUGGCGGACGGGUGAGUAACACGUGGGAACGUGCCUUUAGGUUCGGAAUAGCUCCUGGGAACGGGUGGUAAUGCCGAAUGUGCCCUCCGGGGGGAAGAUUUAUCGCCUUUAGAGCGGCCCGCGUCUGAUUAGCUAGUUGGUGAGGUAAUGGCUCACCAAGGCGACGAUCAGUAGCUGGUCUGAGAGGAUGACCAGCCACAUUGGGACUGAGAAACGGCCCAAACUCCUACGGGAGGCAGCAGUGGGGAAUCUUGCGCAAUGGGCGAAAGCCUGACGCAGCCAUGCCGCGUGGAUGAUGAAGGUCUUAGGAUUGUAAAAUCCUUUCACCGGUGAAGAUAAUGACUGUAGCCGGAGAAGAAGCCCCGGCUAACUUCGUGCCAGCCGCCGCCGUAACAC
rnacentral:rRNA from 1 species